rnacentral:rRNA from 1 species
CGGGGGAGCAAGCGUUGUUCGGAUUUACUGGGUGUAAAGGGCGCGUAGGCGGCCACGCAAGUCGGUUGUGAAAUCUCCGGGCUUAACCCGGAAAGGUCAAUCGAUACUGCGGGGCUAGAGUGCAGAAGGGGCAACUGGAAUUCUCGGUGUAGCGGUGAAAUGCGUAGAUAUCGAGAGGAACACCUGCGGCGAAGGCGGUUGCUGGGCUGACACUGACGCUGAAGCGCGAAAGCUAGGGGAGCGAACGGAUUAGAUACCCCGGUAGUCCUAGCCUUAAACGAUGAAUGCUUGGUGUCUGGGGUUUUAUAGUCCCCGGGUGCCGUCGCUAACGCUUUAAGCAUUCCGCCGUGGGGAGUACGGUCGCAAGACUGA